GUCGAGAAUCUUCCACAAUGGACGAAAGUCUGAUGGAGCGACGCCGCGUGAGUGAUGAAGGCCCUACGGGUUGUAAAACUCUGUCAGGAGAGAAGAAUCGCCGGGGUGCCAAUACCACCCUGGUCUGACGUUAUCUCCAGAGGAAGCUCCGGCUAACUCCGUGCCAGCAGCCGCGGUAAUACGGGGGGAGCAAGCGUUGUCCGGAAUUAUUGGGCGUAAAGGGCGUGUAGGCGGUCUGGUCAGUCGAAUGUGAAAUCCCACGGCUCAACCGUGGAAUUGCGUUCGAUACUGCCUGGCUUGAGUAUGUGAGAGGUGUGCGGAAUUCCUGGUGUAGCGGUGGAAUGCGUAGAUAUCAGGAAGAACACCGAUGGCGAAGGCAGCACACUGGCGCAAUACUGACGCUGAGGCGCGAAAGCGUGGGGAGCAAACAGGAUUAGAAACCCCUGUAGUCC
rnacentral:rRNA from 1 species